rnacentral:rRNA from 1 species
UGGGGAAUUUUGGACAAUGGGCGAAAGCCUGAUCCAGCAAUGCCGCGUGUGUGAAGAAGGCCUUCGGGUUGUAAAGCACUUUUGUCCGGAAAGAAAUCCUUGGCUCUAAUACAGUCGGGGGAUGACGGUACCGGAAGAAUAAGCACCGGCUAACUACGUGCCAGCAGCCGCGGUAAUACGUAGGGUGCAAGCGUUAAUCGGAAUUACUGGGCGUAAAGCGUGCGCAGGCGGUUUGCUAAGACCGAUGUGAAAUCCCCGGGCUCAACCUGGGAACUGCAUUGGUGACUGGCAGGCUAGAGUAUGGCAGAGGGGGGUAGAAUUCCACGUGUAGCAGUGAAAUGCGUAGAGAUGUGGAGGAAUACCGAUGGCGAAGGCAGCCCCCUGGGCCAAUACUGACGCUCAUGCACGAAAGCGUGGGGGAGCAAACAGGAUUAGAUACCCUGGUAGUCCACGCCCUAAACGAUGUCAACUAGUUGUUGGGGAUUCAUUUCCUUAGUAACGUAGCUAACGCGUGAAGUUGACCGCCUGGGGAGUACGGUCGCAAGAUUAAAACUCAAAUGAAUUGACGGGGU